GUUGAACGCUGGCGGCGGGCCUAAUACAUGCAAGUCGAGCGGACGAAGGGAGAUCUUUCUUCGCUUAAGUUACGGGCGGGCGGGUAAGUAACAGGUAGCUGACCUGCCUAUGGGGCUAAGGUAAGUUCGGGGAAGCGGAUAUAAUAUCGGUCAAGAGGGUGAACGGGGGGGAUCAAAGGAGCAAGACGGAUUUGCUGUCCCUAGGUGGGAGUACCUCGCUGCAUUAGCUAGUUGGUAAGGUAACGGCUUACCAAGGCGACGAUGCGUAGCUGACCUGAGAGGGUGAUCAGCCACACUGGAACUGAGACACGGUCCAGACUCCUACGGGAGGCAGCAGUGGGGAAUAUUCCACAAUGGGCGAAAGCCUGACGGAGCCACGCCGCGUGUGUGAUGAAGGUCUUCGGAUCGUAAAGCACUGUAAGUAGGGAGGAAGAGAAGUGAGAGAAAACCUGGCCGUCUUGACGGUACCAAAACAGAAAGCACCGGCUAACUACGUG
rnacentral:rRNA from 1 species